UACGUAGGGUGCGAGCGUUGUCCGGAAUUAUUGGGCGUAAAGGGCUCGUAGGCGGUCUGUCACGUCGGGAGUGAAAAACUCAGGGCUUAACCCUGAGCCUGCUUCCGAUACGGGCAGACUAGAGGUAUGCAGGGGGAGAACGGAAUUCCUGGUGUAGCGGUGAAAAUGCGCAGAUAUCAGGAGGAACACCGAUGGCGAAGGCAGGUCUCUGGGCAUUAACUGACGCUGAGGAGCGAAAAGCAUGGGGAGCGAACAGGA
rnacentral:rRNA from 1 species